rnacentral:rRNA from 1 species
CACGUGGGGAACCUGCCCCAUAGUCUGGGAUACCACUUGGAAACAGGUGCUAAUACCGGAUAAGAAAGCGGAUCGCAUGAUCAGCUUUUAAAAGGCGGCGUAAGCUGUCGCUAUGGGAUGGCCCCGCGGUGCAUUAGCUAGUUGGUAAGGUAAAGGCUUACCAAGGCGAUGAUGCAUAGCCGAGUUGAGAGACUGAUCGGCCACAUUGGGACUGAGACACGGCCCAAACUCCUACGGGAGGCAGCAGC